rnacentral:tRNA from 1 species
GCGGGUGUGAUGUAAUGGUAGCCUGUUAGCUUCCCAAGCUGAGUGUGCGGGUUCGAUUCCCGCCAUCCGCUCCA